AACACUUUGGCCGAGUGGUUAAGGCCUGCUACUACACCUCCGUACUAGCUGAUUAGCCUGUGGGUUCGCCCGCCUGGGUUAGAGUCCCAGAGGUGUCG